GAGUUUGAUCAUGGCUCAGGACGAACGCUGGCGGCGCGCCUAACACAUGCAAGUCGAGCGGAGUUUGCUGACGGAAGCUUUCGGGUGGAAGAUAGUAAACUUAGCGGCGGACGGGUGAGUAACACGUGAGCAACCUGCCUCUCAGAGGGGGAUAACGUUUGGAAACGAACGCUAAUACCGCAUAACACCGAGACGUCACAUGGCGAUUCGGUCAAAGGAGCAAUCCGCUGAGAGAUGGGCUCGCGUCCGAUUAGAUAGUUGGCGGGGUAACGGCCCACCAAGUCGACGACCGGUAGCCGGACUGAGAGGUUGAUCGGCCACAUUGGGACUGAGACACGGCCCAGACUCCUACGGGAGGCAGCAGUGGGGGAUAUUGCACAAUGGAGGAAACUCUGAUGCAGCGACGCCGCGUGAGGGAAGACGGUUUUCGGAUUGUAAACCUCUGUCUUCAGGGACGAAAUGAAUGACGGUACCUGAGGAGGAAGCUCCGGCUAACUACGUGCCAGCAGCCGCGGUAAUACGUAGGGAGCAAGCGUUGUCCGGAAUUACUGGGUGUAAAGGGAGCGUAGGCGGGAAUGCAAGUUGAAUGUCAAAUCUACCGGCUUAACUGGUAGCCGCGUUCAAAACUGCGUUUCUUGAGUGAAGUAGAGGCAGGCGGAAUUCCUAGUGUAGCGGUGAAAUGCGUAGAUAUUAGGAGGAACACCAGUGGCGAAGGCGGCCUGCUGGGCUUUUACUGACGCUGAGGCUCGAAAGUGUGGGUAGCAAACAGGAUUAGAUACCCUGGUAGUCCACACUGUAAACGAUGAUUACUAGGUGUGGGGGGUCUGACCCCUUCCGUGCCGGAGUUAACACAAUAAGUAAUCCACCUGGGGAGUACGACCGCAAGGUUGAAACUCAAAGGAAUUGACGGGGGCCCGCACAAGCAGUGGAGUAUGUGGUUUAAUUCGAAGCAACGCGAAGAACCUUACCAGGUCUUGACAUCGAGUGACAGGUGUAGAGAUACACCCUCCCUUCGGGGCACGAAGACAGGUGGUGCAUGGUUGUCGUCAGCUCGUGUCGUGAGAUGUUGGGUUAAGUCCCGCAACGAGCGCAACCCUUAUGUUUAGUUGCUACGCAAGAGCACUCUAGACAGACUGCCGUUGACAAAACGGAGGAAGGUGGGGAUGACGUCAAAUCAUCAUGCCCUUUAUGACCUGGGCUACACACGUACUACAAUGGCCAUCAAACAGAGGGCAGCCAGGCAGCGAUGCCGAGCGAAUCCCGAAAAAUGGCCCCAGUUCAGAUUGCAGGCUGCAACCCGCCUGCAUGAAGUCGGAAUUGCUAGUAAUCGCAGAUCAGCAUGCUGCGGUGAAUACGUUCCCGGGCCUUGUACACACCGCCCGUCAAACCAUGAGAGUCGGUAACACCCGAAGUCGGUAGUCUAACCGCAAGGAGGACGCCGCCGAAUGUGGGGCUGAUGAUUAGGGUUAAGUCGUAACAAGGUAACCGUAAUCGAAUUCCCGCGGCC
rnacentral:rRNA from 1 species